UGGGGUAUCGCCAAGUGGUACGGCAACUGCUUUUGGUGCAGUCAUUCCUAGGUUCGAAUCCUAGUACCCCAUCCA
rnacentral:tRNA from 1 species